GGGCUUGACUUCAGCAGCACACAUACUAAAAAAAUGGAACGAUGCAGAGAAGAUCAGCAUGGCCCCUGCGCAAGGAUGACAUGCAAAUUCGUGAAGCGUUCCAUAUUUUA
rnacentral:snRNA from 1 species